UCCCUGGCAGUCCAGCAGUUAGAACUCUGUGCUUCUACUUCAGGGGUCCUGGGUUCAAUCCCUGGUCAGGGAA
rnacentral:tRNA from 1 species